GUCAUUUUACAGUCCAAACCACAGGGAUAGUUGAGUUCUCCCAGUAGAGAGAGAUCAGCAGGCGGAGUGCUAGAUGACAGAAGUGUGCAUAAAUUUUCCAGACACAGAGAACAAAAUACCAGGAAAUAGCCAGAGGGAGCCAAGCAAAAGAGAGAAAUGUGGCAGCACAUCCCUCGAAGCACUGGCAGUGACUGUGAGACACCUUGCUAGCUGGCUCCUGGUGCUGACUCCCAGCUUUCAUCUACAGCUGUAGGACUAUGGAUGCCCUGACUGCCCUGCAGCCAUUGGUCAGCAGAACAAAUGGUGUACAGCUGCUCCACCUCCAGUGCUUGAGCUGUGACAACCUACACAUGUCAUUUAUGCAAGUGCUCUUCUGUGUCGGUAGCUCCCCAUGCGAAGGAAGACCAGGUGUGACAUGUGUCCCAGGGACCCUUUGCAGAGGAGAGCACAGGCCCACUGGUGUGGGAAACAUGGGCACUGAAUGGGGUGUUUCCUUGGCACUGCUUGCCCGACAUUUGUGGUGCAGAAGGAGAUCUCUAUGUCAGCAACUUCAGGGAGGUUCAGAGGAAUGCUGA
rnacentral:lncRNA from 1 species